rnacentral:rRNA from 1 species
AUUGAACGCUGGCGGCAUGCCUUACACAUGCAAGUCGAACGGCAGCACGGGUGCUUGCACCUGGUGGCGAGUGGCGAACGGGUGAGUAAUACAUCGGAACGUACCUUAUCGUGGGGGAUAACGCAGCGAAAGCUGUGCUAAUACCGCAUACGCCCUGAGGGGGAAAGCGGGGGAUCGCAAGACCUCGCGCGAUUAGAGCGGCCGAUGCCUGAUUAGCUUGUUGGUGGGGUAAAAGCCCACCAAGGCGACGAUCAGUAGCUGGUCUGAGAGGACGAUCAGCCACACUGGGACUGAGACACGGCCCAGACUCCUACGGGAGGCAGCAGUGGGGAAUUUUGGACGAUGGGGGCAACCCUGAUCCAGCAAUGCCGCGUGAGUGAAGAAGGCCUUCGGGUUGUAAAGCUCUUUUGUCAGGGAAGAAACACCGGCUCUAACACAGUCUGGGAAUGACGGUACCUGAAGAAUAAGCACCGGCUAACUACGUGCCAGCCGCCGCGGUAAGAC